UGGAAUGAGUACAAUCUAAAUCCCUUAACGAGGAACAAUUGGAGGGCAAGUCUGGUGCCAGCAGCCGCGGUAAUUCCAGCUCCAAUAGCGUAUAUUAAAGUUGUUGCAGUUAAAAAGCUCGUAGUUGAACCUUGGGUCUGGCUGGCCGGUCCGCCUCACCGCGAGUACUGGUCCGGCUGGACCUUUCCUUCUGGGGAACCUCAUGGCCUUCACUGGCUGUGGGGGGAACCAGGACUUUUACUGUGAAAAAAUUAGAGUGUUCAAAGCAGGCCUUUGCUCGAAUACAUUAGCAUGGAAUAAUAGAAUAGGACGUGCGGUUCUAUUUUGUUGGUUUCUAGGACCGCCGUAAUGAUUAAUAGGGAUAGUCGGGGGCGUCAGUAUUCAGCUGUCAGAGGUGAAAUUCUUGGAUUUGCUGAAGACUAACUACUGCGAAAGCAUUCGCCAAGGAUGUUUUCAUUAAUCAGGGAACGAAAGUUAGGGGAUCGAAGACGAUCAGAUACCGUCGUAGUCUUAACCAUAAACUAUGCCGACUAGGGAUCGGGCGGUGUUUCUAUGAUGACCCGCUCGGCACCUUACGAGAAAUCAAAGUUUUUGGGUUCUGGGGGGAGUAUGGUCGCAAGGCUGAAACUUAAAGGA
rnacentral:rRNA from 1 species